GAGGAAAAGAAACUAACAAGGAUUCCCCUAGUAACUGCGAGUGAAGCGGGAAAAGCUCAAAUUUAAAAUCUGGUAGUCUUUGGCUGCCCGAGUUGUAAUCUAGAGAAGUGUUAUCCGCGCUGGACCGUGUAUAAGUCUCCUGGAAUGGAGCGUCAUAGAGGGUGAGAAUCCCGUCUUUAACACGGACUACCAGGGCUUUGUGAUGCGCUCUCAAAGAGUCGAGUUGUUUGGGAAUGCAGCUCUAAAUGGGUGGUAAAUUCCAUCUAAAGCUAAAUAUUGGCGAGAGACCGAUAGCGAACAAGUACCGUGAGGGAAAGAUGAAAAGAACUUUGGAAAGAGAGUUAAACAGUACGUGAAAUUGUUGAAAGGGAAACGCUUGAAGUCAGUCGCGUUGGUCAGGAAUCAACCUUGCUUUUGCUUGGUGUACUUUCUGGUUAACGGGUCAGCAUCAAUUUUGACCAAUGGAAAAAGGUCAGGGGAAUGUGGCAUCUUCGGAUGUGUUAUAGCCUCUGGUCAUAUACAUUGGUUGGGAUUGAGGAACUCAGCACGCCGCAAGGCCGGGUUUUUAACCACGUUCGUGCUUAGGAUGCUGGCAUAAUGGCUUUAAUCGACCCGUCUUGA
rnacentral:rRNA from 1 species